AGUGAACGCUGGCGGUAGGCCUAACACAUGCAAGUCGAACGGCAGCACAGUAAGAGCUUGCUCUUACGGGUGGCGAGUGGCGGACGAGUGAGGAAUACAUCGGAAUCUACUUUUUCGUGGGGGAUAACGUAGGGAAUCUUACGCUAAUACCGCAUACGACCUACGGGUGAAAGCAGGGGAUCUUCGGACCUUGCGCGAUUGAAUGAGCCGAUGUCGGAUUAGCUAGUUGGCGGGGUAAAGGCCCACCAAGGCGACGUUCCGUAGCUGGUCUGAGAGGAUGAUCAGCCACACUGGAACUGAGACACGGUCCAGACUCCUACGGGAGGCAGCAGUGGGGAAUAUUGGACAAUGGGCGCAAGCCUGAUCCAGCCAUACCGCGUGGGUGAAGAAGGCCUUCGGGUUGUAAAGCCCUUUUGUUGGGAAAGAAAAGCAGCAGGUUAAUACCCCGCUGUUCUGACGGUACCCAAAGAAUAAGCACCGGCUAACUUCGUG
rnacentral:rRNA from 1 species